rnacentral:rRNA from 1 species
AUUGAACGCUGGCGGCAUGCCUUACACAUGCAAGUCGAACGGCAGCAUGAUCUAGCUUGCUCGAUUGAUGGCGAGUGGCGAACGGGUGAGUAAUACAUCGGAACGUGCCCUGUAGUGGGGGAUAACUAGUCGAAAGAUUAGCUAAUACCGCAUACGACCUGAGGGUGAAAGUGGGGGACCGCAAGGCCUCAUGCUCUAGGAGCGGCCGAUGUCUGAUUAGCUAGUUGGUGAGGUAAAGGCUCACCAAGGCGACGAUCAGUAGCUGGUCUGAGAGGACGAUCAGCCACACUGGGACUGAGACACGGCCCAGACUCCUACGGGAGGCAGCAGUGGGGAAUUUUGGACAAUGGGCGAAAGCCUGAUCUAGCAAUGCCGCGUGUGUGAAGAAGGCCUUCGGGUUGUAAAGCACUUUUGUCCGGAAAGAAAUGGCUCUGGUUAAUACCUGGGGUCGAUGACGGUACCGGAAGAAUAAGGACCGGCUAACUACGUG